rnacentral:rRNA from 1 species
UAAUACAUGCAAGUCGAACGAGUUCUCGUUGAUGAUCGGUGCUUGCACCGAGAUUCAACAUGGAACGAGUGGCGGACGGGUGAGUAACACGUGGGUAACCUGCCCUUAAGUGGGGGAUAACAUUUGGAAACAGAUGCUAAUACCGCAUAGAUCCAAGAACCGCAUGGUUCUUGGCUGAAAGAUGGCGUAAGCUAUCGCUUUUGGAUGGACCCGCGGCGUAUUAGCUAGUUGGUGAGGUAACGGCUCACCAAGGCGAUGAUACGUAGCCGAACUGAGAGGUUGAUCGGCCACAUUGGGACUGAGACACGGCCCAAACUCCUACGGGAGGCAGCAGUAGGGAAUCUUCCACAAUGGACGCAAGUCUGAUGGAGCAACGCCGCGUGAGUGAAGAAGGCUUUCGGGUCGUAAAACUCUGUUGUUGGAGAAGAAUGGUCGGCAGAGUAACUGUUGUCGGCGUGACGGUAUCCAACCAGAAAGCCACGGCUAACUACGUGCCAGCAGCCGCGGUAAUACGUAGGUGGCAAGCGUUAUCCGGAUUUAUUGGGCGUAAAGCGAGCGCAGGCGGUUUUUUAAGUCUGAUGUGAAAGCCCUCGGCUUAACCGAGGAAGCGCAUCGGAAACUGGGAAACUUGAGUGCAGAAGAGGACAGUGGAACUCCAUGUGUAGCGGUGAAAUGCGUAGAUAUAUGGAAGAACACCAGUGGCGAAGGCGGCUGUCUGGUCUGUAACUGACGCUGAGGCUCGAAAGCAUGGGUAGCGAACAGGAUUAGAUAC